rnacentral:rRNA from 1 species
GACGAACUGUCCUAACGUUGUUCGGAAUCACUGGGCUUAAAGGGCGCGUAGGCGGUCCGACAAGUCAGGGGUGAAAUCCUGCAGCUUAACUGCAGAAGUGCCUCUGAUACUGUCGGUCUGGAGGGAGAUAGGGGUGUGCGGAACUUCCAGUGGAGCGGUGAAAUGCGUUGAUAUUGGAAGGAACGCCGGAGGCGAAAGCGGCGCACUGGAUCUCUUCUGACGCUGAGGCGCGAAAGCUAGGGGAGCAAACGGGG